rnacentral:rRNA from 1 species
GACGUAGGGGGCAAGCGUUGUCCGGAAUUAUUGGGCGUAAAGCGCUCGUAGGUGGAUCGAAAAGUCUGUGAGGAAAUGCCUGGGCUCAACUCAGGAACCCGUGCGGAUACUUUCGAUCUUGAGGCAAUCAGAGGAUGGAUGGAAUUCCCGGUGUAGUGGUGGAAUGCGUAGAUAUCUGAAGGAACAUCAGUGGCGAAAGCGACUUCCUGGACCAAUACUGACGCUCAUGUGCGAAAG